CAUCGCAGCCGAUGAUCAUGGAUCUGAAUGGGUUCCUUUAGCUGCGCACGUACUCGACCUCCACAGAUAUCGACACGAGGACUCAUUUUGACCAGAGAUAGGUGUCUUUAGCAGAGUGCUAGCUCCCUUACAGAAGACUUCUCUUUGAUGGCUAAGAUUGUUCUCUCACUAUCUCACAGACUCUCUUGAGAACUAGGGAGAACGGGAGGAGGAAGAAAGAGGGCUAGCUUUUUUUUAUUUUUCUCUUUUUCUUAUUUUUCUUUUCCUUCUUGCUUAAGGCAUCCAAGUAUUGGACCUUUUUUAUAAGAGGGGCUAAGGAUUAGGGUUUGGAGUAGGGGGCGCCACCAAAAGUUUCCAUAAAAUACUUAAUUGGUUUCCUUCUUAUCUCCUUAUCUAGAUUUGAAUUAAAUUCAAAACAAGAAGGAGAUAAGGAUCAUGACUUAUCAAGAAACACCCUGCCUUAUCCUUUUGAUUUGAAUCAUAUUCAUAUUAGGAAAGGAUAAGGAUCAUGACUCAUCAUGAAACCACCUGCCUUAUUCUUUUGAUUUGAAUUAUAUUCAUAUUAGAAAAGGAUAAGGAUCAUGACACAUCAUGAAACCACCUGCCUUAUCCUUUUGAUUUGAAUCAUAUUCAUAUUAGAAAAGGAUAAGGAUCAUGACUCAAACCAAAUCAUUGAGGAGUCCUAGGGUUUUGGGAUUCUAGGUUUUCUAUUUUGUAUCAAACCAAAUCUUAUCUGGUUGGACCCGAGGGGAGAAAGGAAUCUAACCAAAUUAGAAACCCAAUCUCCUCAAUUAAAUUCUAAUCUAAUUAAGAAUUAAUUGAACUCAAGUCUUAAUCAUCAAGAAUUAAUCUUCCUCAUAAUUAGGCUUGAUCUAAUCAAAUUUAAUCCAAUUCAAACUGAAUCCAAUUCAAUUAGACC
rnacentral:lncRNA from 1 species